UCUGACAAAAAAAAUGGACAAAGGGAACUUUAGUUUGUGUCCUUAUCCAGGAAUGGACUUGGCAAGACCAAUCUGAGGCUGGAGCCAGUGCCUCACAGGAGUCAAGGUCGUGGCUUCUGAUGACCCAGUUCUUCCUCCUGAGCUGUGGUUAUCAGUCUCAGGGCAGCUGUGUCUGAGGUUUUCCUUUAGUGUAAAAGUCAUUAUAAGCUGUUCUCUGGCCUUAAUGAGCUGGCAUCAGAAAUGUGCUUUUUUGAAUGAAGGUGAAAUCAUCUGCUUCGUCAAACCACCAUGCGCUCCUCGGUCUUCCUCAGGAAGAGGUGAUGGCUGGACCUGCCUGUCCUUCUACCUUUCAUUGGCCUGUAAAUCUAAGCAUGAGAAGGACUGCCAUUGCAGAGGUUCUGAUCUUAUCCUGCCUCUUAAGUGAUGUGGGAGGUGUGAUUUGCAGGUCAUGCAAUCUCUCCAUCCCAUUCCAUGGAUGUCUGUUAAACCUCGGAACCUGCAGAACAAAGCCUGGUCAGUUUUGUAUAAAGGAGAGCUUUGCCAAAGGUGGAAUCCAGUGGUUUUCAAUUAAAGGCUGCACCGAGGACAGAUCGGAGUGCUUCAAGAGGGUCGUGAGGCAUUACGAAGUCCGCUCUUCUCACUGCUGCCACCGGCCCCUGUGCAACUUCUGAGGAAGUGGGCUGUAUCCUUGUCACGUGACUAGCCAGCCAGCCCCGAAGCCUCGCCUAUUCUCGCGAUGGCAGCUUCUGUGUUGCAGGUGCUUUGGACCAUGGUCAGAGACUGACUUCGGCGUUCACUAUGUCCAUAUCCUCCAACUCCCCCACGGUCUCCAAGGUGUCUCACAGGAGCUCUGUGUCACAAAAGCUGUUUCUGUUGCUAUGAUAAAAUAUUCCAAUGAAAAGCAUUUUGAGGAGGAAAGGGUUUAUUUGGCUUAUAUUUCCAAGUCAUGGUCCACCACUGAGGAAAAUCAGAGCAAGAACUCGGGGCCAGAACCUGCAGGCAGGAAUUGAAGUGGACUGAGACCGUGGAGGAGCAAUGCUUGCUGGCCUGUUCCUCAUGGCUGGCUCCAUUUGCUUUCUUAUAUAGCCCAGGUGCCCCAGGAAGGGUACCACCCAAAGUGGGCUGGGCCCUCCCACAUUAAUUUUGAAAU